CACACACACACACACACACACACACACACACACACACACACACACACACACACACACACACACACACACACACACACACACACACACACACACACACACACACACAGACAGACAGACAGAGCUAGUCCCAAAGCAGUAACACCAGGAUAGAACAGAUAACAUGAAACGCCCUGACACUAGUUUUAUAUAGAACAAUAGCCAGGGUUCAGACUCGACCUUGGGAUUUGGUUAUGCAAUAGUAUUCACUAGGAGAAAAAAAAUUACAUUCAAACUAAAUUUGUCAACAGAAUAUGCUGUAAUUAGAAUUUAAAACACAACUUUUGACCAGUAAUCUUUCUCAUUGUAGCAUUUUAUUGGGAUAGCGGAUACCUAGUCAGUUGCACAACUGAAUGAUUUCAACCGAUAUGUGUCUUUUGCAUUUAACCCAAUCAGAGAGGUGUGGGGGGCUGCCUUAAUGGACAUAAUUGGCACCUGGGGAGCAGUUGUUGUUGGGGUUUAACUAACUGCCUUACUCAAGGGCAGAACGGCAGAUUUUUCACCUUGCCAGCUUGAAGCUUUGAACUAGCAACUUUUCAGAUUACUAGCCCAACGCUCUUAACCACUAGCCUAUCUGCCUCCAUUGACAAAACUCUUAGUUUCAGUAUUAUUUACAGUUUUUUUCGAUUGCUAAACGACAGUGGACACACCUGGAGUCACAUGUGCAAAACUCUAACUACAGUCUGCACAGCAGCAGUUCAUGUGGACCAAACUCUAGUUCGUUUUUCAUUGCUUGAACACAGUUUUCAAAACUCUACACACUUAUCCCAUGACUUUAACCACAACCUGCACAACACUGUGGAUUUACAGCACUUUGUUCAAAUGCUAACACACUGCUGUCAAAACUGUGAACCACACAUUCAAAACUGAAUAGAUGUCAGCCUUGUGCCUUUCAAACACUGCUGAUUGCAAUUUCAGCUGAAAGGCUAAGCAGGUGUCUUGUUUUAGACUUGUUAGUGAACACACACACAUAUUACAGUAUAUAUAGGUAGAGCUCAGAAAGACUCAUUUUGGAAAUGGAACAAGGAAGAUGGGUUCGUGGAGGGAGAAGGGUGGCAGGGAGAGGGCGGAUGCGUGGAGGAAGACAAAGAGCUGUUAUUUCAGAUGAAAUAAGGGCUACACUUAUAGACCAUGUCGUGAACCAUGGUCUCUCAUUGAGAGAGGCAGGGUUGAGGGUGCAACCCAAUCUGCAAAGAUCCACAGUGGCAUCUGUAAUGCGAAUUUUCCAUCAUGCAAACAGGUGAGAGUUACAUCCUUACAGUAAAUGAAAACAUUACAGGAAUCUAUUUUGUAUUGCAAUUAUAGAAUAUUUACACAGAUAUAUAUUACAGUAAGUUUGACUGUAAAAUAUAUUUUUACAACAGGACCCAAAGGCUGGCCCCAACAGGGGGAAGAGGAAAAAUAUUUUCAGAUGCGCAGAAAAAUGCUAUUGUUGACAUGGUUGUUGUCAACAAUGCAAUAAAACUGCGGGAGAUUCAAGAUAGAGUGCUGUCUGAUAAUGAUAUAUUUGAAAAUGUUAAUUCUGUCAGCACAACAACUAUUGCUCGAGUCCUAAAGAAACACCAAGUUACAAUGAAACAGUUAUACACUGUACCGUUCGAGAGAAACAGUGAACGGGUAAAAGAGCAAAGAUACCAAUAUGUCCAGAGAGUAAUGGAGGUGGAAGCACUGGAAAGACCACAUUCAUUUGUAUUUAUCGAUGAAGCUGGAUUUAACCUUGCCAAAACACGGCGCAGAGGAAGGAAUGUUAUAGGUCAAAGGGCCACUGUGGAGGUUCCAGGCCAAAGGGGGGGAAAUAUCACCAUGUGUGCUGCAAUGGCCAAUGAUGGUUUGCUUCUCAACACACCACUCAUUGGCCCAGACAACACAGAAAGGCUUAUAGCUUUCCUAGAACAGCUCUAUGCUCAGCUAGUGCCAGCAGAACAGGGGGAGCCAGAAAGAAACCCCCCAAGUUUUUGUCAUAGUUUGCGAUAACGUUGCUUUUCACCACUCUGCAGCUGUCACAGAUUGGUUUGCAGCACAUCACAGAUUUAUGGUUUUGUACCUGCCUGCAUAUUCACCCUUCCUCAACCCAAUAGAGGAGUUUUUCUCUGCCUGGAGGUGGAAAGUGUUUGGUCACCACCCACAUGACCAAAUGUCUCUUUUGGAAGCCAUGCGUGCCGGAUGUGAGGACACGAGUCCAGAGGACUGCCAGGGAUGGAUAAGGCACUCCAGAAGGUUCUUCCCCAGGUGCAUGGCAAGAGAAAACAUUAGAUGUGAUGUUGAAGAAAACCUGUGGCCUGAUGCUAGAGAGAGGCAGGAUUAGCCCCUCAAUUAUUUGUUUGAAUUACAGUAUGUACUUUUAGUUUCUACCUUUUUUUUCUCAUUACUGUAAUUCCGUAAAUUACUACAGACUAUUGAAGCAAACUGCUAAUUUUCAUUUACCUUAAAGAAUUGUUAUGUUCUAAAAAAUAUAAAAAAUCAUGUGAAAGAAUGUCACUCUUUUCUUUGAAGAAAAUAUUACUUUGUAUGAAGUCACUGAAAUUGUUCAAACUGUAAAGAUUAAAAGUUUGUAUUUUCUGUA